GGAUCAAUAUGUUGGUCGUGCUUUGGUACGUACUAGUUUAUUGAUUCCUACCUUCUGACGAACCAUGAUGUCAUUAAUUUGGUGUCUUGGGGAAUCAGGACUGUUACUUUGAAAAAAUAGAGUGUUUAAAGCAGGCUCACGCUUGAAUACAUUAGCAUGGAAUAACGAAAUAGGACGUUCGAUUCUAUUUUGUUGGUUUCUAGGAUCGACGUA
rnacentral:rRNA from 1 species